GUGGGGAAUUUUGGACAAUGGGCGCAAGCCUGAUCCAGCAAUGCCGCGUGCAGGAUGAAGGCCUUCGGGUUGUAAACUGCUUUUGUACGGAACGAAAAGCCCUGGGUUAAUACCCUGGGGUCAUGACGGUACCGUAAGAAUAAGCACCGGCUAACUACGUGCCAGCAGCCGCGGUAAUACGUAGGGUGCAAGCGUUAAUCGGAAUUACUGGGCGUAAAGCGUGCGCAGGCGGUUUUGUAAGACAGAGGUGAAAUCCCCGGGCUCAACCUGGGAACUGCCUUUGUGACUGCAAGGCUAGAGUACGGCAGAGGGGGAUGGAAUUCCGCGUGUAGCAGUGAAAUGCGUAGAUAUGCGGAGGAACACCGAUGGCGAAGGCAGUCCCCUGGGCCUGUACUGACGCUCAUGCACGAAAGCGUGGGGAGCAAACAGGAUUAGAAACCCGUAUAGUCC
rnacentral:rRNA from 1 species